GAUGAACGCUAGCGGCAGGCCUAAUACAUGCAAGUCGUACGGCAACACAGUUGCGAGCAAUCGCAACCGGUGGCGAGUGGCGCACGGGUGAGUAACGCGUAUGUAACCUACCCUUCUCCGGGACAUAACUCCGCGAAAGCGGUGCUAAUAUCCCAUACCAACUCAUCAAGACAUCUUCUUGAGUUGAAAGCAGCAAUGCGGUGAAGGAUGGGCAUGCGUCCCAUUAGCUGGUUGGUGAGGUAAUGGCCCACCAAGGCUACGAUGGGUAGGGGUUCUGAGAGGAAAGCCCCCCACACUGGUACUGAGACACGGACCAGACUCCUACGGGAGGCAGCAGUAAGGAAUAUUGGGCAAUGGUCGAAAGACUGACCCAGCCAUGCCGCGUGCAGGAUGAAGGCCUUAUGGGUUGUAAACUGCCUUUAGCCGGGAAUAAACACCCGUUUUAUAACGGGCCCGAAGGUACCGGCUGAAUAAGCAUCGGCUAACUCCGUG
rnacentral:rRNA from 1 species